GGAGUUCAUGUAAACUAAUAAUGGUGGAAGACACGAAUCAUAUAACGAUUCAGAGAGGUUCAGCAGUACCACCUUUGGAGCAAUGCACAACAUGCUGCAGAAAUUUUCACUGCCCUUUUUGUGCUAGCAGUAUUUUUAACCCGACAAGACUGGACAAAUUGAAUAGUCACAUCAAAAUUCACUUCAAAAAGGCUGUUGUGCAUUGAGAUUUAACAUUUCACAGAUGUGGACUGGGCUGCAGACCAACCCAACAUUUCCACUGUCUCUACUGUACAGCCACAAUUC